CUGUUCUGUGUAAGGUUCUCCAUAGAAAUCUCUUCACAUCAAUGUAUUUCUCAUAACAGUUGAGCUAGUUUCAAUUAAUUAAGUAAACUACAGUUAAUUACUUAUCACAUUGCUGGGUCUCAUAAAAUGGUUUGUACUUAACCCACCACUAGCAAAGUGCUAAUUUCCAAGAAAAUGUGCUUAGGAUACUCAGUCCUAUAGCGUUGUUUACCUUGGUGGAUGGAUACCAUCUCCUGUACCCCAGCUGCUAUUCUCAUGCCAGUAGGAAUUUCACAGAAUCAGAGAUCAGCUGAGGCUGCAAGGGAUAUCUUGAGAUCAUCUGGUCCAACCUCCUUCUGAAGUGGAGUUAGCUAGAGCAGGAGAGGCUGAGGACACUUUGGCUGUCUAGUCUGGAGAAAAGGAGGCUAACAGCUUUUUCUGUCAUAUUUUCCUCUGGGAGGAAGGAGAAGGGAGAGAGCGGCCAUAGUGGAACUCAGCUGGCCAACCUGAUUAAAACUACCACAUGCUCUCAACAAGUUCCUGAGGAAGGGAAGUUGAGAAGAUUCUGAUCCUUUCUCCCUGGUAACUGAUGACAAGGAUGCAUGGGAACAGCACAAAGUUGCACCAGAGAAGUUUCAGACUUCACAUUAGGAAAAAAUUUCUUUACUGUGAGGGUGGUCAAACACUCUGACAGGCAUCCUAGUGAGGUGAUUGACACCCUCCUUUCAGAGUUAUUUGGAUAGUGCCCUCAAUAAUAUGCUUUGGUUAGCUCCGAAGAGGUCAGGCAGUUGGACUAGAUGGUCUUUGAAAGUCUCUUUCGAGUGAACUAUUCAAUUCAAAUUGAUUUGAUUUGGUUUGAUUUGAUUUGAUUGAUUCUAGGUUGCCCAGAACCAUAUCAAAACAGGUUUUUGUUACCUCCAAGGAGGGAGACUCCACAACUUCACUGGGCAGCCUUUGGCAGUGCUCAGUUAUCCUCACAGGAAAGAACUGCUUCUGGUGUUCAGAGAGAACCUUCUGUGUUUAAGUUUGUGUGCAUGUCUUGUUCUGGCACUACUUCAAAAAAAUAUAUUUUCUAAGUACUAAGCAAGUUAUUAGAAAGUUCUUGCAAUAAAACAAACAACAAAAACAGAAAAAAAAAAAGAAUUUUUAACUUUGUUUCCCACAAAAAAAAAGUCUGGUUUCUACCAAAUGAAAUGUUUGUUUUCUACCAAAUUUCUUUUCAACCAUUCUCUGUAAAAUAUUUAAUGAAACACAAAGGUAAGAACAAGUGGGCUGUGUCAUGGAAAAUUUAGGAACUAAUUCCCAACAAGAUAAAUAAAUAAAUAUAUAAUGUUCUUCUAUUAAUUUUAUAAUUAAUUUGUUAAUUUAUAGUUCUAUAUUAAUAUGCAUCGUAGAUAUUAUAUAUUGAUAUCUAUAUAUUAUAUAUUGACCUCUCUGUAUGUAUGUAUACGUAUCAUUUCAACUUCUCAACUUCACUAUGAGAACAAGGUGUACAUUACUUCACAACCUGUUUUGAAGACAGAUAUCAAUGGUUUAUAAUAUCGUAUCUAAGAACUUGUUAUUCAUGAACUCUUAUAAUACUUAACAUUAGUCUCCUGUUGCUGCUGUUAGGAGAAAUUACGUGCUAAACCGUCUAGUUACAAAAAUUAUAAUUAGGCAAUAUUUCCAGUUCUGUUUCCUUUCCCCCCCUUGGCAUGUAAAUGACCAUCACUUUGAGUUGCACUAGCUUUGAAAUGUUUAUUGUGUUUUUGUAUUCUUGUAGUUAUAUCAGCAUGUAUUGUAAUAAACUUUUCAUUGAGUUACUCCAAAUCAAGUGCAAAGCUAUUCACCAUUAUAUAUAAUGACACUUCCAUACAGAGGGGGCUAUGAUAAUUCAGAAAAUGGUAAAGCCUGCUGCACAUAAGUUUCCUUUGAGUUUUCCUCUCUUUUCCUGGUAGGAAUAUGUUCUCUGUUUUUAUUUCUAUGCCUGUAGCAAUAUUUCUGUCAAUCCCUUGUUGUCUGAAAAGUCCUUAUAAACUUCAUGCAAAUAUCUACGUGGGCAGUUCUUGGAAGCCAAACUACUUAACAAAGUGAGCUUUAUCAAAGCAUUAAGCUGUUAAUAAAUGAAGAAUGUUUACUCUCA